rnacentral:lncRNA from 1 species
AUCUCAUUAUUAAUUUUAAAACAAAAGUACAUCAACAAACGAUAGGAAAUUGUAAUGAGUAGAACUCAUAAGUCAUAUGCAAUCAAUAGGAGUAUGAAUAUUUAAUUCUCUCCCAUUCCACUGUUCUUCACAAAGUAGGAACAUCUAAGAAUCUUCCCCAGGAUAGCUUCUUCUUGGGAUUCUGAAAGAGACAACUCCCCUCAAUUUACAUUCUGGAACUCCAUAUCACAGUUGGUAGACUGUGCUGGGCUUAGCCCGUUGUUUUGCGAAUGGAGUAGUGAUCUUUUCAAUACAUCCCAGAUCCCAGCUUUUGAUUUUUGGAGGAGUGUCUUGAUUGUUUUUAGUUUUACUGGAGAUUCUUGUGAUGGGAAGAACUACGAACUUAUUGAGUCCUGUUGGUAUCUCCGACUUUACUAUAAACUCCAAUUCAUCCUUUAGGGCUUUCCUAGCAUUUCUCUGACUCAUUCAAAACAUGAGGAAACUCUGGAAAAAUGGACUCGACAUUCAUAAUUUGCGGGUCCCUCAAAGAGUUUUGGUUACAGAAUUACAUAUAAUUGUUUCUAGAAAAUAUUUUGGAAUAACGUUAAGUGACGCUAAAUCAUGCCACGAAAGUGAUCUUGUAAAUCUGGAGUGAUGAAUGCCGUAAUUAAUUUCAUUUUCUUUCUUCCAUAUUUCAGGGAUAUUUUCACUUGCACCUGUAUUCGGGAGUGCUCUCAUAUAUUGUAAGACGGGGAGUGGAGUGCUUAAUGGAUGAUGUACUAUUAACAAUGCUUGAGGCUGUUUCUACAGGGCUAAAUUUCUCGUUGUCCUUGAGUGAGAUUUGGAUUCUGAAUCAUAAUUCUGAUCAUCUACAAAAAACAAAAAAACAUGACUUGUUCUCACACAUUUUGUUACAUGUGCUGUUUCGGAAUCUACACUCGGAGCGGUGGUGGUUGUCUCUUCUGCAACUGAAACAUCUACCAUGCUGACAAGGCAUUAAUAUUAAUGUAAACCAAUGUAUCUUGGAGAACGUCUGCAGACUCCCAUGCAGUGGCUACAUUUACAAGUCAUAGCUAAUGAGUUCUCAUACUAUCGGGAGGAGCACAAGCUCCAAUCACGCAACAUGUUGUGGUAAAAAACAUCAUUUUUAAUGAUAAAUUCAACUUGGUGAACUCAUAUGAACUUUGCACAAUUGUUAGUGGUUGUAAUUUUAUAUCAACAUCACGUGCUUUGCUUUUUUAAGCAACUCUUCCAUUUCGGUAUCAUAUUUCAAAACCGAAAAAAUGUAUACAUUUCAAAAUCAAAGUAAAUUAUUUAUUAAAGGUUUUUCUAACUUAAAUGUUCAGAAUAUUAUCAAACUGAUGAAUUCGUUCUUCAAAAAUUAAGUAUCAACUUCAGUUCCUGUUUGUACCAAAUCAUUAUACAGUAAGUUUCAUACAAAUAAUUAAUUCAUAUCAAAUAUUAUUCUUCGAUUAAUCUUUGGAUACUAAUGCCAUUAAUUCAUAAAGUCAGAAGAGUCGAGUGUAUUUGCGCAAUGAGUCAAAUGGAUUGGAGUCGUAUAAUAUAAAUGUUUGGAUUCAGAGCCAAGAUCACAAUAUAUUAUUCCAAACUGAAACUAUUAAUUAAGAAUAAUUUAUUUUUAGAUGUGCGUAGUUAUAAUGAAAUUGUUUAUAUUUAUUUAGUAUUACAAGGACUGAGAAUUCAAAUUUAAUUUCGAAAGUAUGAUUUCAAUAGUUUUUUCAGGUUGGAUCCUGCCUUCCUAAUCUGCAGCUAUUUUAAAAUUUGUAUUUUCCAAUCAUAGACAAAUAUACAUAUCAUCUGUGCUUCAAACCUACUCCGUGAGUAAAUACAUAUGACUCUGCAGACUCCCGCCUCACUCAUCAGCCAUAAUUAUAACUUCAUGGGAAUUAAACAAAAUCGAUACAGUCUCAAUGAGGUUUACAAUUCGUCUUAUUUCGGAACCAAAUAUAGUUAUCCCAAUGAAUGAAUUACAUUAUUAAUGCAACAUUAAUGGAA